GAGUUUGAUCUUGGCUCAGGAUGAACGCUGGCGGCGUGCUUAACACAUGCAAGUCGAACGAGGAAUUUUAAAUGAGACUUCGGUGGAUUUUAAAAUUCUUAGUGGCGGACGGGUGAGUAACGCGUGGGCAACCUGCCCUGUACAGGGGGACGAACAGCUGGAAACGGGACUGCUAAUACCGCAUAAGACCACGGAGCCGCAUGGCUCAGUGGGAAAAACGUACCGGUGGUACAGGAUGGGCCCGGCGUUGGAUUAGGUUAGUUGGUGAGGUAACGGCCCACCAAGCCGCGAUCCAUAGCCG
rnacentral:rRNA from 1 species